rnacentral:rRNA from 1 species
GACGAACGCUGGCGGCGUGCUUAACACAUGCAAGUCGAACGAAAAUACCAAGCUUGCUUGGUUUAUUAUUGGCGAACGGGUGCGUAACACGUGAGUAACCUUCCCCUUACUUUCCUGGAUAACUGCUCGAAAGGGUAGCUAAUACUGGAUCUUCUGUCCAGCCUGCAUGGGUUGGUUUGGAAUGGUUGUUUUUCUGGUAAGGGAUGGGCUCGCUGCAUAUCUGCUUGUUGGUGGGGUGAUCGCCUACCAAGGCUUUGACGGGUAGCUGGCCUGAGCGGGUGGACGGUCAGACGGGGAAAAAGAUACAGACCACACAGGUACGGGAGGCAGGAGAAGGGAAGAUAGCAGAAUGGGCGCAAGACGAAUGCAGCGGCGUCGCGUGAGGGAGGAAGGCGGUUGGGAAGGAAACCUGUUAGGGCAGAGAACAAGGGAGUGCUUAUGUGGUGGUGUUGAGGGUACCUGGAUAAGAAGCGCCGGCUAACUACGUG